rnacentral:rRNA from 1 species
UACAGGGGGGGCAAGCGUUGUUCGGAAUUACUGGGCGUAAAGGGCCAGUAGGCGGCCAACUAAGUCACACGUGAAAUCCCCAGGCUUAACCUGGGAACUGCGUGUGAUACUGGAUGGCUUGAAUUCGGGAGAGGGAUGCAGAAUUCCAGGUGUAGCGGUGAAGUGCGUAGAUAUCUGGAGGAAUACCGGUGGCGAAGGCGGCAUCCUGGACCGACAUUGACGCUGAACGGCGAAAGCUAGGGGAGCAAACGGG